UACGUAGGGGGCAAGCGUUGUCCGGAAUCAUUGGGCGUAAAGCGCGCGUAGGCGGCCCGGUAAGUCCGUUGUGAAAGUCAAAGGCUCAACCUUUGAACGCCGAUGGAUACUGCCGGGCUAGAGUCCGGAAGAGGCGAGUGGAAUUCCUGGUGUAGCGGUGAAAUGCGCAGAUAUCAGGAGGAACACCUAUUGCGAAGGCAGCUCGCUGGGACGUAACUGACGCUGAGACGCGAAAGCGUGGGGAGCAAACAGG
rnacentral:rRNA from 1 species